CCUCCUCUUCCUCCUCCUCCUCCUCCUCCUCCUCCUCCUCCUCCUCCUCCUCCUCUCCUUCCUAACUACAACUACUACCACCAUCUUGACCUGCCCAUGUCAGUGUUAGGAAGGCCACGACUACUACACACUACGAGACGACCUGGCCAUGUCUGCAUCCAGGACCUUUGGGAGCAGCACAUACAAAUACUGUUUAAGAAUUUGCCACACCAAUGGACCAUACAACCAGCUACCACAACUACCAACAUUCCUACCACAACUACCACCAUCGAUCGGCCGGAUAGUGGUUGGCAGGUCUUCCGGGACAUGGCCAAGGUCCGGUUUUACUGCAAUCACUGUGGCGACGGGUGGACCAGUAUGUAUGGGAGUGUCACAUUCUACUAUCACCUAACUACUACUACUACUACUACUACUACUACUACUACUGGACGCAUCUUCUACCAUUUACCAGGCCAGAGGUGUGGUGGUGGUGGUGGUGGUUGUAGUAGUAGUGGUUAUUGUCAGCCACUGUGGUACCCGGAGGAGAUACAGAAGGUCAUAACAAACUUAUACUACGCCAUUGCCACAAAUAUAUACAGAUUAAUAACGCCACAGUUCAUUAAAACGAGGCGCCUUGGCCGUCCCGGGACCUUCCAUAACCGUAGGCUGUGCGAGGGUUGUUAUAUCGGGGUCUGCAAGUGAGAGGGAGAGAUGGAGAGAAAAGUGAGAGUGAGAGGGGAGUGGGUAGGUGACGGAUUGGAGAGAAAAAAAGACUAGGAUGGAGAGAAUUGUGGAG